GGGGUCUGCGGGGUGCGGGUCCGGGCGCUCGGUGCGUUAUUCGCGGCGGCAUUCCCGGUCACUUUCCCGACGGCAUCCCUUGCCGCCAUGGAGCUCUCCUGCCAGGCACUGAGAACCACCCACCAGGCGAGGGAAGCGGAGGAAAUGCGAACAGAAGCUCGUCGGAAAAAUCUCCUCAUUCUAAUUUUGCAUUAUUUAAUGGAGGAAGGAUACGUUGAUGCUGCAAAUGCUUUGGAACAAGAGACAAAAUUAGGUUUACGAGGCUUUGAAGUUUGUGACAACAUUGAUCUUGAGACAAUUUUGAUGGAAUAUGAAAGCUACUAUUUUGUAAAAUUUCAAAAGUAUCCUAAAAUUACCAAAAAGGUCCUGGACACUGCAGAAAAUAAACAACAGCUGAGAAGUGGAGGAAGAGCAAGAAGGACAGCAGCUUCUUCUCAGAAUGUACCAAGGGUCAAACAACAGACAGCGCCACGACCAGUGUCAAAAACUUCUCCUGGGAGUACAGCAGAACCUAAAUCCUCCACCAAGGAGAGCCCCAGACAGAAUAGUGAUGGUUCAGAUACUUUGGAUCAAUCUGAUUUUGGCUUAAGCAUCUCAGGAAUCAGCAAAACUGGAGGAGACAGCUCUCACCCAAGAAAGGGCCAAAUAAUUGACUUCCACAAGAUGAUUCAGGAUGCUGUCAGAGUGUCACCAGAUGGAAUUCCCUUGAACAGCCUUAAUUGUGAUCCAGAUCCAUCAGAACGAUUAUUGAAACCUCUUAGUGCUUUUAUUGGCAUGACUGGUGAGAUGAGGGAACUUGCAAUGGUUGUAAGCAAAGACAUUUAUCUUCAUAAGCCAAAUGUGAAGUGGGAUGAUAUUAUAGGGCUGGAUGCAGCUAAAAGGCUAGUCAAGGAAGCAGUUGUUUACCCCAUAAAGUAUCCAGAGCUGUUUACUGGAAUUCUGUCCCCUUGGAAGGGGUUAUUGCUGUAUGGACCACCAGGCACUGGAAAAACUUUGCUUGCUAAGGCAGUUGCCACAGAGUGCAAUACAACCUUUUUCAACAUAUCAGCAUCCACCAUUGUCAGCAAGUGGAGAGGGGAUUCAGAAAAACUUGUCCGGGUGUUGUUCGAGCUCGCCCGGUACCACGCUCCUUCCACGAUUUUCUUGGAUGAGCUGGAGUCAGUUAUGAGUCAAAGAGGCACUGCUCCUGGUGGUGAACACGAAGGAAGUCGGCGGAUGAAAACAGAAUUACUGGUGCAGAUGGAUGGCUUGGCCAGAUCUGAUGAUCUUGUAUUUGUUUUAGCAGCUUCCAAUCUGCCGUGGGAGCUGGACUCUGCCAUGCUGCGGCGGCUGGAGAAGAGGAUCCUGGUGGACCUGCCCAGCCAGGAGGCACGGAGGGUGAUGAUCCAGCACUGGCUGCCCCCUCUGAGCAGCAGCGGCGGGGUGAAGCUGAGGACAGAUCUGGAUUACAGCCUGCUGAGCCAGGAAACAAAUGGAUACUCUGGAUCAGACAUAAAACUCGUGUGCAAGGAGGCAGCCAUGAGACCAGUGAGGAAAAUUUUCGAUGCUCUUGAAAAUCAUCAGCCAGGUAACAGUAACUUGCACAUGAUCCAACUGGACACAAUCACAACAGCCGAUUUCCUGGACGUGAUCACCCACACCAAGCCAUCAGUGAAGAACCUAAGCCAGAAGUACACGGCUUGGCAGAAGGAAUUUGAGUCAGUCUGACAAAAAGAAAACAAACCAACCCCAAAAUCAAAAACCUCCAAGCCAUUUGCCAUCCAGAGUGGCCUCCAAAGGAACAAACACAGGCACCAGGGCUGUGUGGAGAACAUCAGAACAAAGUUGGAGACCUGCACCUGCCACCUCCUUCUCCUCUUUAUCUCUUGCUUCACACUGAUCCUUCACAGGUAAGAGCUAGUAAGAAAACCCCCUGGUUGACAAUAAAAUACAAAUUAGUAUGAUUUUUUUCCCCUCUGGACCUCAAUAGGGAACUUUGAGCAUAGUAACCCUAAAACUGGCAUCUCUCCAUUUGCUCCCCAAGCUGCAUGCCAUUCCUUCCAGCUUCUCUUUGGGAACAACAAGGACUGGCAGAAAAGAGAGUGGGACAAUAAUUUUUUUCAAACCUCUGAGAGCUGGCUGUUCCCUGACACCUGCUCUCCACACCUGUGGCAGCACAUAUACACUAUAUGGAUUUCCAAGAACAUUGACUCUCACCUGGCACAAGCUGCCCCUGCAGCAGGAACCACGGUGCAGAGUGAAAAUGCAACAAAUGAAACCCAGUGUUUCAGCAGUUUUUACUUCCUUGCAAUUUUACAUCUUAAGGAUAUAAUAAUUUCCACAGCAUUACCUGUGGGAAAUGCAGCUUCCUAAUCCCUCUGGGAACCUUUCCUCUGAGCAACAGCCCAGCUUUGUAAAACCCACUCAGCUCCAAAAGAAUUCAGUUCUGCUCCUAUAUGCUGAUUAAUUAAGUGCCCCAGAAUCUCAGUGUCCUCCUUCAUUCACCAAAAUAUCACCUAUCACUCUGGGAUUUUUCCUCAUCCACUGCAAGAUGUCUUCUCCAGGAAAACACCACAAAUAUUGGCAGGAUUGUGUGUCCUAUUUCACUACUGACUUGGAAGGAAUAAAUAAUUUUGCUGUGCCUCAGUGUCUUUAGGCACCCUUUCACCACAAGACAGAAUUAACUAUCUUGCUUAUUAAUGUGUUGAAAUUCCUACAAAACAAAAAAAAAAUGAGGUUGUCUGCCUUGUAGAAAGAAACUUUAAAAAAGUAAUAAAUUUGGCUGUGUUAUAAGUACAUAUUAUAUUAUUGGCUUUUCACAAAUAUUAAAAUUAAUGCUAUAUGUAUAAUGUUGGAAAACUUUGCUGUAUGAACACAGCUUCUUUUAGUUCUGCUAUUAACAAAACUUAGAAAUAGUGUGAUAAAUAUAUUUUUCUUGGAUUACAACAUGGUGAUGUGAAAAGCUUUUGCUCAUGUAACUAAUUCAGAGAAUGGUAAAAAAGAUAACCAGGAAAUUCUUGGAUUAUUGGACACCAGAACCCCAGGGAAGGAAUGUAUUGAUCUUCUUUUAUCAGGGAGUACCAACAGGAUGGAGCCACAAGGAGAAAUUAAAAAAACUUUGAUUUACAGGCUCAGGGGGGGAUGAUUUUGAAUAAUGCAUUAAGGUCUAUAAAUAUGCAACAUGUUGAUGCAUUUAAAGAAGUGUUUGCUGAGUUAGUGUGUGCUCUUGGCCGAAGGCCAAACACCUGU